rnacentral:tRNA from 1 species
UCUCUGGUGGCUCAGAGGGUAAAUCAUCUGCCUGCAAUGCAGGAAACCCGGGUUCGAUUCCUGGGUGGGGAA